UGGUGGUGGUGGUGGUGGUGAUGUUGAUGUUGUUGAUGAUGAUGAUUUUCUAUGAAAAAGUAUAUUUAACAUCCCUUUUAGAGCAACAUGUUAUUUGGAUCACUUUUUCAACAACAACAACAACAACACCCUUAUUA